CUACACAUGUCUAAUGACUCACAUUUCCCGAGGAGAGGGAUUGACCAUCGCUGGAGCCAAUUAUGGCACAACAAGGGAAUACUAUUUUAGUAAGCCUUGACCUCUAAAAAAGAGAAAGUUUAUGUCACAACCCAAAUUCUGGGUGACCCAGAAUCUGACCUAUGACCCUAAGGGUUCCUCCUAAUCCAAACUAGCAUUCAACUAAAACGUCCUAAUUUUUUUUUAAACAUAAAUCACAACAAAGCUUCCUGCAACUAACAUUCCAACUUAUAAAAGUACAAUAACUACUUAAAAACAACAAGCAAUUUAAUAUCAAUAAGAUCUCUAACCAAAGUCUAACAAGAGUGUCCGCAAUAGAGUAAGUUUAAUUCAAAAUACAGUCUAUAAACGAUUACAUAAUUUAAAAAUCUAUUAGCACAUGUUCUAAUAACCCAACACAAUCAAGGAUAACAAAAUCCUCUAAGCUCCUCCAAAAUCUCCUAGGGCAUCCUCAAGCCCUCCUUGCUCCACUUAUUGAUCAUCAGGAGUUACAUCUGCAUCUAAAAAGAUUUAAGAAGGAAUGAGUGAGCAUUCCACAUUGCUUAAUAGGGUGCCUUACAUCCAAGGGGUUAGUUGGGAUUACUAAGGUUCAAGUGAACACAAAAUAAAUAUUCCACCAUAAUUGAUCAACCCAAGUAUUUUAAUUUCUAUAAUUAUAACAAUUCAACUAUUUUUAACAAUUAAAUAAAAUGCAUGUGGAUAUGUGACACACAGUCAUACCAUGCAUUGUCGUUCUCGGGCUUUCACCAAAGGAUAUGCAUCCGUACCCAAAUACACUCCCCAUUCAGAGUAUUCUUGGGAUAGAUUUUUGGGUUUUUCACCCUAGGGAUCUCAUCCCUUUCUUAAUUCGUCUCUCAAGGGCCUUUGCUUUUCACUACUAUUUUAUUUUUCUUUCUUUUUUUCAUUUCAUGCACCUUUCACAUUUUUUAUUUUUCCUUCACACAACCAUGAUGCAUAUGAAAUGCCAUAGGAUUAAUUAUCCUCAAUCACAAGUAUCACAAAUAUCAGAUAACAUUCCCACUAAUUCAAAUACCAAUAAAAUUACAAUUUAUACCAUGAUUUCAUUAUUUCUCAACAAUCCCAAUAAUUCCCACAAUCAAACAAAAAUAUUUCUCCACAAUUAAAUUACCAAAAACAACCAAAUAAAUUCUCAAUAAUUCAAAUAUCAAUUAAACAUAAUUUCUAUCAAAAUUCCAUUAUUUCUCAACAAUUCCAAUAAUUCCAACAAUCAAACACAAUUAUUUCUCUAUAAUUAAAUUACCAAAGACAACCAAAUAAAUUCUUAAUAAUUCAAAUAUCAAUUAAACAUAAUUUCCAUCAAAAUUCCAUUAUUUCUCAACAAUCCCAAUAAUUCCAACAAUCAAACACAAUUAUUUUUCAUAAUUAAACACUUCCAUUAUCACACAAAAAUCCCAAGGAAAAUUCCGAAAUCACCCAAUAAAAUUUCUUGUAUCUGUAUCAUAAAUAUUACCUAUUUAACUUCCAACAAAGAGAUUUAUAAUUUUUUUGAAAGAAAAAAACAUUAAAUAAAAGUUUUAGGGUUAAGUCUCCUUACCACUGAUCUAUCAAUCCAAUCAUUGAAAAUGAAAUCUGCCACCGUAGGAAUGUUCCUCACAUCGAGUAGAACUUUCCCUCAAAAUUUCACGUGAAAUGGACGACAUUUGGUCAUCCAAAUGGCCGACCAAGGAAUGACAACAUCACUUUCCCCUGCAACCGUGAGCCACUACCAUUUCUCUUUUCU
rnacentral:lncRNA from 1 species